CUUGGACCAAUGACUUCUCAUGUCUUUGGUCCUUAUCUGCCGUAUAGACUACUUGGUCCAAUGACUCCUCAUGUCAUCAGACCUUAUCUUCGAACACCGCCUUCCACGGCGGCUUAUCUUAUUUUAUUUAUUCCGUGGUCCCACACGUACCACUUGUUCGGGCUCUUUUUGAGCCUGUUCGGGAAUACCCCCUACAACGGAUGUCGGUGACAUGGACCUGCGGACUGAUGGUGUGAUGGCCUUCGUUCGUGUUGGUGGCUGCAUUCAAAGAUAAAGGCAGAUAUAAGUAAGCGAUUAAGUGUGCAAGCGAGUAUGUAAAACCCUGCUCGGGGGAUUAAUGAAGGGAAGAAACUUACGAGGACGUCCAAUGCCAUGAGGGUAGUGAAAGCCAAUCAUCUGCUCAUCAUCUCCCAUGGGCUCCCAGUUUCCCGUAACGAUGAGGAAGUCAUCGUUAUCCCCCCGACCAGAAUCCGGGGUGUGAGUCACCAGCUUUCUCCUGGCGUUGCAGGCUUUGAGAUAGUAGCAGCCCUAAGCCGUGGAGAUGACACUAUACAUAUGAUGAAUAUCAUAAAGCCCUAGAUUGGUCCCCAGUACCUCAUUUAGGGCAACGACGCCCAUAACCACCCGAAAGAAAUUGAUGGUGCAUUGGAUUGGGGAAAGUCUGUAGUAGGCUAGGGUUUGGCGGAGAAGGCGGUGGAGAGGAAAACGAACUCCGCCCUCGACGUCUGAAAGAUUAGAGACGUGGACUCUAUUCUCGUCCAAAUUGUCCCCGUUCACCUCGACAGGGGCAAGCUGCAGGAAAAUGUCAUCAGGGACGCUGUAGCGUCUUCUGAAGUAUACUAAAACCAUGACUUUUAAUAUAAUUUCUAACAAUCUCCCACUUAGACUCAAAACCAUGCUGCCUCUUCCCGUUUGUUCCGAGAACACUGCCCGUAGCAGCAUCGUCAUCGGAGGCGGAUAAGGAAGAGGAGUCAUCGGAAUCGGAGUCACUGCUGCAGCGGAUAAGUAACUCUGCGUUUUUGGGUAGAUGAUAAAUCAUAUUGUAAGCUAUAGAUGGAAGAGAUCAAGAGUUUACCUUUGCAGGUAAAGUUCGUGAAUGCUUCGAUGUACAUACUAAUACCGAAGAGAAGCCUCGGCAUGCUUAACUUUGAAGUGUAAUCCACGAAGCAAUGGGACCAUUUAGCUGCGAUCCUGGUUUAGCAUCACGUAUUGCGCAACGCAUGGUGUUGAGCAAGCGACCGUAUGUCAAUCCAGGAAAAACUUACCUGUUCACCCUGCACACGAAUGGUAGAUCAAGAAUAGUUCCGCUGUGGCAAGCAUCAAUGAUAGCAUGAAGUUUGGCACCAUGGGGAAGUGGCCUCACGAUGGUGGCAUUGAUCUCAUCAUCCAAUAUCAUUCCUUCAGUAUCGUAGUCUAGAGGGCACAAUGUUUCGUCAUACCCGUCCAUCUCAUCCCUGUUCAUGUCACGGAGUUGUGAGCCAUGGCCUGAGUAGUGGAAGACCAAUGAGUCCCCUGACUGGCAACCUUGUACAAGCCACUGCAAGGCCAUUCGGAUGUUGCGCUUUGUUGGUAUCCGCAGCGGGCGUAUUGAGUCUUGAGCUUCAAUCAAAGGAUCGUUAGGUCGGACCCGAGUGACUGCUUGGCAGACUGAACACUGAAUGCUUUGGGCCUCAUGUGGGACUAGUAGUUGCACUCCACACCGACUGCAUCUCUCUCUUCUUCCAGCCAUUUCCCCUGCUUGCGGUUGUAGGUGUGGAAAAAGCUGAUAAAAGGGGUCUUGGAAAAGACAGUGAAACCAGAACAAUAUCAGACUCGUACUUUGAGAUUUUAACUUCAUUCUUCCACCUUGGUGGUGUAUGAGAAUCAGGUUCUCUCUUCUUUUUUGAAUUUAAUUGCCUUUUGGGACAAAAGAGAACGGAUUAUAUAGUCCCCUUUAUUUUUUCUGUUUCUGACUAAGACAUGAGAAUAUUGACUGAAACUUAAAGUUCAAAAUACUCUAUUUUAAUACUGCGUAUCUAUUAUUGAUUGAACAGUAGUUCACAGAAUAAAGUCACCUGGAAGCUUUAAGACAUUUGUGAAGUUAAAACAUUUGUUUGGCUUCUUAUUCCAGUUGGGACUGGUUUAAUUUUUUAAGAUCAUACAAAAUAUCCUGCUGUGAUCUUAUUCCGGGAGCACUAAACAUCUAAUUAGGAGUGUUUCUCUGGGGCUUUCUGGGUAAUUUAAAACAUACUCCAUUGUAGUGUCAAUGAGGAAAACAGUUUCGUUAAAUUCCUUUGCAAAUGUACAUUACUAGUGGUAUGUGGGCUUAGAAAACCUUCUUCAGUUUCGAUGCAAAUGUUCAUUACCCGUCUGAUUGUGUCAUUCAGGUACUUGUCAAUCCCUCUCCGGGUAAAGAUUGAUGUAAUGACCUUACUAAUGUAUGGUGACACUCUCAUAAUAAACGUAGGGCAUUGUGAUUUCUAGUUGCUGUCGACCUCAUCUUAUCAAAGUCGCACAGUUCUGAUCCAUGGCCUGAGAAGUGAAAAUCAACGAGUCCCCUUAUUGGCAGGCCUAGAUGUGCAAAUGCAAGGCCAUUCAAAUGUUACGCCUAGUUGGCAUCGGAUACAUUGACCUGAAUGAUGUGCAAAUUUGACAAAGCCAAAGUUGUUGCCAAAUUUGGCACCACAGAUGGCUUUGGUAGUUUUUUAUAGCAAUUUUGACUGAGGGGAAUUCAGUACAGUCAAAGCAAGUCAACUCUUACACUUGUAUCAGCAGCCAUUUGAUCAUCUGCGCAGAAACUCAGAGAGAUGGCUAGUCCACCGUUUGUACAUUUGCUAGCACCUGCUGGAGAUUUGUUAUUUACCUACCUUUUCCUGUUGAAAUCCAAUUAUGAGAAACAAACAAAAAAGAGUACCCGCUUUAUUACGUUGUCGCACCAUCGUAUUAGGUACACUAUUCAACAUGCUAUGGACAAAAUUAGCAAAAGUUUAGGUGGUUGGGUCAAAUACCUACAACCAUACAUGGUUUUCUGCAUUAAAAAUGGAAAAAGACACGGGUUUUGCUUUUCGGCAAUGG